rnacentral:rRNA from 1 species
GACAGAGGUCCCGAGCGUUAGGCGGAAUCACUGGGCUUAAAGCGCACGUAGGCGGAUCGUUAAGUCAGGGGUGAAAUCCUGGAGCUCAACUCCAGAACUGCCUUUGAUACUGACGACCUUGAGUUCGGGAGAGGUGAGUGGAACUGCGAGUGUAGAGGUGAAAUUCGUAGAUAUUCGCAAGAACACCAGUGGCGAAGGCGGCUCACUGGCCCGGUACUGACGCUGAGGCACGAAAGCGUGGGGAGCAAACAGG